UACGAAGGUGGCAAGCGUUGUUCGGAUUUACUGGGCGUACAGGGAGCGUAGGCGGUUGGAUAAGCCCUCCGUGAAAUCUCCAGGCUUAACCUGGAAAGUGCAGAGGGGACUGUUCAGCUAGAGGAUGGGAGAGGAGCGCGGAAUUCCCGGUGUAGCGGUGAAAUGCGUAGAUAUCUGGAGGAACACCGGUGGCGAAGGCGGCAUCCUGGACCGGCACUGACACUGAGGAGCGAAAGCCAGGGGAGCAAACGGG
rnacentral:rRNA from 1 species